GAUGAACGCUAGCGGCAGGCCUAACACAUGCAAGUCGAGGGGUAUAGUUCUUCGGAACUAGAGACCGGCGCACGGGUGCGUAACGCGUAUGCAAUCUACCUUUUACAGGGGAAUAGCCCAGAGAAAUUUGGAUUAAUGCCCCAUAGUGUUAUAGAAUCGCAUGGUUUUAUAACUAAAGUUCCAACGGUAAAAGAUGAGCAUGCGUCCCAUUAGUUAGUUGGUAAGGUAACGGCUUACCAAGACAAUGAUGGGUAGGGGUCCUGAGAGGGAGAUCCCCCACACUGGUACUGAGACACGGACCAGACUCCUACGGGAGGCAGCAGUGAGGAAUAUUGGACAAUGGGCGCAAGCCUGAUCCAGCCAUGCCGCGUGCAGGAAGACGGUCCUAUGGAUUGUAAACUGCUUUUUGUACAGGAAGAAACACUCCCUCGUGAGGGAGCUUGACGGUACUGUAAGAAUAAGGAUCGGCUAACUCCGUG
rnacentral:rRNA from 1 species